GCCGGCCUGAGGCCUCAGGAGUCCAUCCUGGGAGGGGAGAGGGCGGGGGGCCACCCAAGGCGGGUAGGGCGGAGAGCAGACUCUGCCUAUUCCAGAGACGGCUUUAAGUCCCAAUGUAAACUGGGGUGCAGUGGAGAGGAGUUCUAUGGGUUUGGCAAAUGCAGAAAGUCAUGGGUCAUCACCACUACAGUCAAGGAAAGCCCUGGAGCUCCUGCCUCCCUCCGAUGCCUGAUAAACAUCUGCGGACCACUUCCUACCUCCUCCCAGGAGUGAUUUCGUUAGCCACCUGCUACUUUUGUCAGUUCCCCACUCCACUGAGAGCCCCAGGAGAGCAGGGCUGGGCUGUUUUAUACCUCACUGUAUCCCCACUGCCUGGGACACGGCAGGCACUCGAUACGGAUCC